UGUGACGGAGAUCAUACGGUGCCCGGAC
rnacentral:piRNA from 1 species